rnacentral:rRNA from 1 species
AACGAACGCUGGCGGCAGGCCUAACACAUGCAAGUCGAGCGAGGACUUCGGUCCUAGCGGCGGACGGGCGAGUAACGCGUGGGAACGUGCCCUUUGCUACGGAAUAGCCCCGGGAAACUGGGAGUAAUACCGUAUGUGCCCGUGAGGGGGAAGAUUUAUCGGCAAAGGAUCGGCCCGCGUUGGAUUAGGUAGUUGGUGGGGUAAUGGCCUACCAAGCCGACGGUCCAUAGCUGGUUUGAGAGGAUGAUCAGCCACACUGGGACUGAGACACGGCCCAGACUCCUACGGGAGGCAGCAGUGGGGAAUCUUAGACAAUGGGGGAAACCCUGAUCUAGCCAUGCCGCGUGAGCGAUGAAGGCCUUAGGGUUGUAAAGCUCUUUCAGUGGGGAAGAUAAUGACGGUACCCACAGAAGAAGCCCCGGCUAACUCCGUGCCAGCAGCCGCGGUAAAAC